UGUGUGGUACCGAAGAAACGGCCAGCCUUGCGGUGUGAUGGGAUUAAUCGGCUGCUGCUUCUUGGAGGACUUCAAUCGAAAAAAAAAUGGUUUAUCCAUGCCGGCAGCGCAGAUGC